rnacentral:misc_RNA from 1 species
AGGUGGUAUGCCUGCUACUGCUUAUCAAGAUCCUAGAUUUGGCUUUGAUGGGAAGUACAGAAACACUGGUGUUACUUCAUUUUUGAAGGCUAAUAACAUUCCAUCUUCGAGGAACCAUAAUUUUCGGCAAAACUCCAAUUAUAUGGUACACAGAAUUCUAUUGUCUUCUUUAUUUGUGUCAUUUUGAUCUGAAUGAUGGAGGCACUGAUGGUUCUUUUGAAUGAGUUUUGUGGGGAAAAAUGGUUUAUAAUCUAGUAGGCUAUGGACUGCUUGCAAAUUUGUUCAAGUAUCUAAAUUGAAUUAUUUUUUUGAAAUUUUCUAGGUCUGCAUAAUGGCAGAAUUUAUUAUUUAAUUUGUGUUGAUUGCUUCAGCCAAUUAUGAUUUCAUGCUAUGUAGUUAAUUAAUGGAUCUAUGCUUGUAAGCAGACAUGAGAAGUAUGCUUGUUAGCAGACAUGAGAAGUUACCAGGAUUCGUGCCCACUGCCUCAGCUUCUUAAAUUAUGCUGUCUUAGUCAUUUCUUAGUGUCUUUCAUGGUUUUCAGCAACCUGAAAAUACACAUACACAAUCUCAUGGGUGAUUGGAAUGUAAAGUUAGUUUUGGUUAGCAUCUAUUCUUAUAUGUUUAUGUUGCUUCACUUCACA